rnacentral:misc_RNA from 1 species
UACGAAGGGUGCAAGCGUUGCUCGGAAUUAUUGGGCGUAAAGCGCGCGCAGGCGGCCUCUUAAGUCUGAUGUGAAAGCCCCCGGCUCAACCGGGGAGGGCCAUUGGAAACUGGGAGGCUUGAGUAUAGGAGAGAAGAUUGGAAUUCCACGUGUAGCGGUUAAAUGCGUAGAGAUGUUGAGGAACACCAGUGGCGAAGGCGACUCUUUGGCCUAUAACUGACGCUGAGGCGCGAAAGCGUGGGGAGCAAACAGG